rnacentral:RNase_P_RNA from 1 species
GAACCGAAUGGUCGCGGCCGUAUUUUUACGGGUGAGGAAAGUCCGGGCUUCAUAGGGCAGGAUGCCGGAUAACGUCCGGUGGAGGCGACUCCAAGGCUAGUGCAACAGAAAUGAACCGCCGAGUAAUCGGUAAGGGUGGAAGGGCAGUGUAAGAGACUACCGCCGAAACGGUAACGCUUCGGGCACAUGUAAACCCCAUUCGAAGCAAGACCAGACAGAAGCGAUGACGUGGCCCGCCAGCUUCAGGUAGGUCGCUUGAGCUUGCCGGUAACGGCAAGACUAGACAGAUGACCAUUUAAGACAUAACCCGGCUUACAGAUUCACUGG